rnacentral:rRNA from 1 species
AACGAACGCUGGCGGCAUGCCUAACACAUGCAAGUCGAACGAGACCUUCGGGUCUAGUGGCUCACGGGUGCGUAACGCGUGGGAACCUGCCCUUAGGUUCGGAAUAACUCCCCGAAAGGGGUGCUAAUACCGGAUAAUGUCUUCGGACCAAAGAUUUAUCGCCUUUGGAUGGGCCCGCGUUGGAUUAGCUAGUUGGUAGGGUAAAAGCCUACCAAGGCGACGAUCCAUAGCCGGUCUGAGAGGAUGAUCAGCCACACUGGGACUGAGACACGGCCCAGACUCCUACGGGAGGCAGCAGUGGGGAAUAUUGGACAAUGGGCGAAAGCCUGAUCCAGCAAUGCCGCGUGAGUGAUGAAGGCCUUAGGGUUGUAAAGCUCUUUUACCCGGGAUGAUAAUGACAGUACCGGGAGAAUAAGCUCCGGCUAACUCCGUG